AACGAGCGCUGGCGGCAUGCCUAACACAUGCAAGUCGAACGAGACCUUCGGGUCUAGUGGCGCACGGGUGCGUAACGCGUGGGAAUCUGCCCUUGGGUUCGGAAUAACAGUUGGAAACGACUGCUAAUACCGGAUGAUGACGUAAGUCCAAAGAUUUAUCGCCCAAGGAUGAGCCCGCGUAGGAUUAGCUAGUUGGUGAGGUAAAGGCUCACCAAGGCGACGAUCCUUAGCUGGUCUGAGAGGAUGAUCAGCCACACUGGGACUAAGACACGGCCCAGACUCCUACGGGAGGCAGCAGUGGGGAAUAUUGGACAAUGGGCGAAAGCCUGAUCCAGCAAUGCCGCGUGAGUGAUGAAGGCCUUAGGGUUGUAAAGCUCUUUUACCCGGGAUGAUAAUGACAGUACCGGGAGAAUAAGCUCCGGCUAACUCCGUG
rnacentral:rRNA from 1 species